rnacentral:lncRNA from 1 species
GCCGGCCGGAAACCCAGCAGGCGGCGAAGAUGGCGGAGAACAGCGGUCGCGCCGGCAAGAGCAGCGGGAGCGGCGCGGGGAAGGGGGCGGUGUCCGCAGAGCAGAUACAGAAGAUCAUUGAGACACUGACACAGCAGCUUCAGGCAAAGGGAAAAGAACUAAAUGAAUUCCGGGAAAAGCACAACAUUCGUCUCAUGGGAGAAGAUGAGAAGCCAGCAGCCAAGGAAAACUCAGAAGGGGCUGGGGCUAAGGCCAGCUCAGCUGGAGUGUUGGUCUCCUAGGGACCAAGGCCUUUGCAUUUUUUUCUACCCUGACUCCCACUUCUAAUUUCUCUUUAUUGUUAUUAUUAUUAUUUUCUCUGCUAUUGUAAUAUUUUUUUGUUAAUUAAAUGUUUUGGUCAGAAUCUUA